rnacentral:tRNA from 1 species
GCUCAGUAGUAGAGUGCUUGUUUGACAUGCUGGAGGCCCUGGGUUCAAUUCCCAG